rnacentral:rRNA from 1 species
AUUGAACGCUGGCGGCAUGCCUUACACAUGCAAGUCGAACGGCAGCACGGGCUUCGGUCUGGUGGCGAGUGGCGAACGGGUGAGUAAAGUAUCGGAACGUACCUUUCAGUGGGGGAUAACGUAGCGAAAGUUACGCUAAUACCGCAUAUUCUGUGAGCAGGAAAGCAGGGGAUCGCAAGACCUUGCGCUGAUUGAGCGGCCGAUAUCAGAUUAGCUAGUUGGUGGGGUAAAGGCCUACCAAGGCGACGAUCUGUAGCGGGUCUGAGAGGAUGAUCCGCCACACUGGAACUGAGACACGGUCCAGACUCCUACGGGAGGCAGCAGUGGGGAAUUUUGGACAAUGGGGGCAACCCUGAUCCAGCCAUGCCGCGUGAGUGAAGAAGGCCUUCGGGUUGUAAAGCUCUUUCGGCCGGGAAGAAAUCGCAUGGGCUAAUACCCUGUGUGGAUGACGGUACCGGAAUAAGAAGCACCGGCUAACUACGUGCCAGCCGCCGCAGUAAAAC